ensembl:snRNA U1 U1 spliceosomal RNA
AUACUUACCUGGCAGGGGAGAUACCAUGAUCACGAAGGUGGUUUUCCCAGGGCGAGGCUUAUCCAUUGCACUCCGGAUGAGCUGACCUCUGCGAUUUCCCCAAAUGCGGGAAACUCGACUGCAUAAUUUGUGGUAGUGGGGGACUGCGUUCGCGCUCUCCCCUG